rnacentral:misc_RNA from 1 species
AAAAAACUUAACCUUUUGGAAAAUCCGACUUGGAACCUUCUUGUUCCACCUCAGAUUCACUACACAGCCUUUCGCUGAGCAAGCCAUUUUUGGAUUAUUCCCGUGGAUACCUGCAUAUACAAUUGAUUGACCCAAUGGGAGCUGGGGAAGAGAGCACUCCUACAAAGACUUCAAAGCCUCCUUUAACUCAGGAGACACCAACCGCACCUUCAUAUCCUGAUUGGUCAAGCUCUAUGCAGGCUUAUUAUAGUGCUGGAGCUACUCCUCCUUUUUUUGCCUCACCUGUUGCUUCUCCUGCUCCCCACCCAUACAUGUGGGGAGGUCAGCAUCCUCUUAUGCCUCCUUAUGGGACUCCAGUUCCAUAUCCAGCUUUAUAUCCUCCUGCCGGAGUUUAUGCUCAUCCUAACAUUGCCACGCCGGCUCCAAAUUCUGUGCCGGCAAAUCCUGAAGCAGAUGGGAAGGGGCCUGAAGGAAAGGAU